AUUGAACGCUGGCGGCAGGCUUAACACAUGCAAGUCGAGCGGAGAUGAGGUGCUUGCACCUUAUCUUAGCGGCGGACGGGUGAGUAAUGCUUAGGAAUCUGCCUAUUAGUGGGGGACAACAUUCCGAAAGGAAUGCUAAUACCGCAUACGCCCUACGGGGGAAAGCAGGGGAUCUUCGGACCUUGCGCUAAUAGAUGAGCCUAAGUCGGAUUAGCUAGCUGGUGGGGUAAAGGCCUACCAAGGCGACGAUCUGUAGCGGGUCUGAGAGGAUGAUCCGCCACACUGGGACUGAGACACGGCCCAGACUCCUACGGGAGGCAGCAGUGGGGAAUAUUGGACAAUGGGCGGAAGCCUGAUCCAGCCAUGCCGCGUGUGUGAAGAAGGCCUUUUGGUUGUAAAGCACUUUAAGCGAGGAGGAGGCUACUUAGAUUAAUACUCUAGGAUAGUGGACGUUACUCGCAGAAUAAGCACCGGCUAACUCUGCGCCAGCCGCCGCAGUAACAC
rnacentral:rRNA from 1 species